rnacentral:siRNA from 1 species
AUAGGAUCGUGUCACGUGUCA